rnacentral:lncRNA from 1 species
CUUGUUCGACCACCUUCUCUCUCUAUCCUUCAUUUUUUUCUCGCUUCUCCCUCACCAAGGCCUCCCCUCUCUUCUUUCUCUCCCCUUUCCCUCUUCUUUCCUCUUCACUGCCGCCCCACCGCCACCAAAAUACCGCCGCUGCCAGCCCCAAACCACCACCAAAUCUCUAACUUCAUUUUACCUAAACUUUCCAUUAUUAAUCCAAUGCAAAAAGAGCAUUGAAUAAAGACAGGAACUAGAAAAAAAAAUUGUGAAACACAUUUCUAUAAUCCUUUUUUUUUUGUCCUAUGUUAUGUACCUUUGGUAAGUUCCUCUAACCAAAGUGAAAAGAGAUUAAAUUUUUUUUGAAUUAUAUUGUCAAUAAACAGAUUUCUUGAAAAUGGGGUUGAAAUAUUGAAUAAUAUUGUUCAAAUUUUGUUUUUUAUUUCACGAAAUUUCUGCAGAAAAUAGCAUAGUGGAACUUUUGUAUUGGUAGCCAUUUCUUAUAAUAUUCUUUGUAGUUACCAGCUUUACAAUUCUUAUAAUGUAAAACCUCAAAUUGGUUCUUUUAGAUGGAUUUGUUUUUCUUAAUUUUGGUCAAAAAGUCCACAUGGGUUAUCUUAUUUUCAUAAGAAUUUUGAGUUUAGAAGAAGUAAUUUUGUUAUUAUGAAGGCUUCAGAUUCAACUACUAGCAGAAAACAAGUAGAGAAAAAUAUUUUAUUUACUCGUCUGGAUAUUUGAGGUCAUUUCGUUAUAAAAAGAUGAAUUUAAUUUUAUAAAAUUAUUUUAUAUUAUUAAAUUAUUUUAUUAUUAUUAAAUUAUUAUGUUGCUUUAAUUAUUGUGUUACUUUAAUUAUUAUAUUACUUUAAUUAUUGUGUUGCUUUAAUCAUUAUAUUGCUUUGAUUAUUAUGUUGCUUUAAUUAUUUAUUAUUAUUAGUGCUAUCUUUAUUUUUUUUGACAUAUCUCAUACAAUUGCUUAAUUAUCACUGUUAUCUUAUUGAUGACUAAUUUCAUGCAUUUUUAUGCCUAUAAUAAAAUUAAAAAAAAUAAAUUUAACCAAUAAUUAAAUUCUCCGUCAAUUUUCAAGGCUUCUGUAAAUAAAAGACGGAUAUUACGUAUAUAAAUAUUAAUAAAAAAUAAAUAUUUGGGCAAUGACGAAAUUAUUAUAACUUUUUUUUGAAAAUUUUAUCUGAGCCCACUUUUUAAUAAAAAUUAUAUUUUUUUAAAUACAUAUGUGUGCACAUAUCUUUUUAUUAUUUAUUCGUUACUAACAUUUUUAUUAUAAGUUUUUGUACAGAUUCUCGGACAAACAUUUCCGGAAAUGAUAUUCAAAGGAGCUUAAUCUUUUAUAUAUCUGUAUUUUCUUUUAUUCUUAUCAUAGUAAAAUCUUUAUUUUAAGUGUUGGGUGGGAUAUCUUUACUUACGUAAUUAUUAACACGUGUUUAGACAAAUUUAGGUCGUU